rnacentral:lncRNA from 1 species
GUAACACCUAGAAGAAAAAAAGGGAAGUUGAGCCAAAGUGAACAGUAUCUGGACUAGUUUAAUGAUCUCAGGUAAUUUCCACUUUCCCACCAACAGGGGCUCCAGGAGAGAAUGGGAGAGGAAUCUUCUGUGUCUCCAAGCAAAGAUGUGAAGAAGACAGAAGCUGUUUUGGUCAUAAGGGAGGUCCCAUUUAGUUUUGCAAUACUGAAGAAUUGCACAGAGUGACUAAAAUUAUUACAAAUUGCAGAAGAGGCCUGGACAUGCCCCGCCCUCUCAACCUCCCCUCCUCCAGGGUGACUGCUUCACCUAUGUCCCGCCCGUGCAGAGCACAAGCUCGGCUUUGGAGUGGCGCUUGGCUGGCAGACUGUAAUCAGGGUUACAUUUUAAAAGAAUUAUUUCCACAUUUUGAUAAGAAGCUGCUAAAGUAAAAGGAGCUCCUCUGGAGUGAGUCAGUGGCUGCUGGCUCUCCAAGGCCAAGAAGAGUCAAGAGUGUGGAGGAUGGAGCUGAAGUCUGCACCAGAGAAUACCAAGAUCCACCUGAGGAGGGUGACUGUUCCUUCUGAUUUGAAGUGGAGAAUUGUGUUUCCUUUUGUAGGUAAU